rnacentral:rRNA from 1 species
GAUGAACGCUGGCGGCGUGGAUAAGGCAUGCAAGUCGAAUGGGUUUAGACCCAUGGCGAACGGGGUAGUAACAGGUAGGAACGUACCACAGAGUCACGAAUAACUUUCCGAAAGGGAUGAUAAUACGUGAUAUGCUUACGAGUGAAAGAUUUAUCGCUCUGUGAUCGGCCUGCUUCGUAUCAGCUAGUUGGUAAGGUAAUGGCUUACCAAGGCAAUGACGCGUAGGGGAGGUGAGAGCCUGACCCCCACCAAUGGCACUGAGACACUGGCCAUACUCCUACGGGAGGCUGCAGUCGAGAAUAAUCCGCAAUGUGCGAAAGCAUGACGGUGCGACGCCGCGUGAUGGAUUGAAGGCCCUCGGGUCGUAAACAUCUUUUAUAGGUGAGGAAGUAUAUUGACGUUAGCCUAUGAAUAAGGGGCUCCUAAUCUGG